rnacentral:lncRNA from 1 species
GAAGAAGCCGACCACCUGCUGCACUCCAUCUUUUCAACCCUCGACAAAGAGGACUUUCAGCCACCCUAUCUAUACUCAUCUUGCUAGCAUACUCAAGUAUGUAGCAACCAAUUUCCUCUUUUAGUAUCAGUUCCACCAGCAAAACAAUACUCACUCACAUCUCAUUUUUUUCACCCAAAAGUAUCGAAGAGAUCGCCCAGCUUGUUUCUGCCAAGGUCUCAAGGUAACACCUGCUGAAAUGCUCCAUCUUCUUCCAUUUAUCUACCUGAAAUUAUUGAGACAACAACAUCAAUUUCUUUCGGUUCCAGUUCAUUCAACACACCAUAACCAAAAAGCAAGAGAAUCACUCGUUCACUCCUUGCCAGAAACUUUAAGGUAAAAAUUAGCUUUGAUUCAACAUCUCCUUCAAUUGCAACUUGCAUUUAUUGAAAGAAACAAGUUCGAACUUUUCAGUUCACUUAUUCCAGUU